CACUAAUAGUAGUUAAACCAAAAUAAAUAAGGGUACAAUACAAAUGCCCUAUAUUUACAAUACAAUUGCACUAGAAGUACAAUAUAUUACAACAUUACUUGAUUCAUUAUACAUUUAAUUAUGACAAUUGAUUAUUUGAUAUAAAUUCCAUAGUGCAGUGUGGAGUAUAAUACAUGGAUAAAAGGAAAAAAACAAUACAAUACAACCAGGUUUGAACAUUAUUUUAAUUAGUAUUAUUUUAUUUUGACUAUAUUAAUGUUUGACAUUGUUGUUUAAUUUGACUGUUUUAAUUUUAAUUUUAUAUUAUCAUUUAUUUACUUUUACAGGAGGUCAAAAUAAAUAAUCGAUGCUCCAGCAAAAAACUUAGACAUCUACUUGAUGAGCUAAGUGAUGAAAAGAAGAGUAUAAUUCAACAUAUUGGCUUUGGUGGAUUACUUCAGCUCUCUUCCACAGAGAUAAGGCAUAGUUUAUGUAGAUGGAUAAUAACUCAUUUCAAUAUAGCCCACUGUAGGUUAGACAUAGGACAAGAAAGGCAAUUUCCAAUAACUUGUUCUGAUGUAGGUGAAAUUCUGGGUAUUCCAUAUAUUGGUAGGAGGCUCCUACUUUCACCUACUAAUAGGAAUAAUAGGAUGGAAAACCUAUCAGAUCUUAGAGAUAGGCUGAUUUUAAUGGAAGACAUGGCCGAGUUCAAAAAAUUGUUUAUCUUCUUCUCAUGUGCUACAUUACUUGCUCCAACAUCAAAGUUGGAUAGUAGUCAUGAGUUGUGGUGUACUUUGCUUGCUGGAGACUUUGACAUCAAUGUUAAUUGGGGUCAAUUUGUACUUGACACACUGGUUGCUGGAAUUAGACAUUUUCGAUUGGGUAAAGGCUCAUGGUUUACAGGUUGCCUUAUUUUUUUACAGCUUUUUUAUGUAAAUAAAUUUUACAUUCCAACCAUGUUGGUACCACGUACCAUCCCAAUAUGUGCAGCGUGGACUGAUGACUUGAUGAAGAAAAGGGUGCAUGCGGAAUUGCAUGAUUAUGGUGAUUUUGGACUAGCUGAUGUUCAAGAAGAUGAAAGGGAGGAAGAUGCACAUGAAGACCCUGGUAAUCCAGUAAAUGAAGUUGAAGAAGAGACUAUUGAUUUGAGAACCUUCUACAUCUAUUCUUUUAUUUAAAGCGAAAACCAAACAUGUUAUGCAUAAUAAUAUAGAUCUUUGACACUUUGUACCAUUUUGUAGGAAAUUAUAGCAGAAUAUAAUGCAGCAGAGAGACAAAUUCACCAAUUGCUUCGAACAAUGAGAGGAGCAAUUGGUAAACUAGCAAAGCGGCAGAAUACAAAUAAAACCCCAUCAUCUUUUCAUCAAAGCAGAAGUCAUAAUCAACCUGAUAUCAAUGAUUCUUUCCCAUCACCACCACAUGCUUAUGGAUCGCCACUGAAUGAUCGUUUUGCUGAUGGUGAAGAUAAUGUAGGCCCAUCAACCUCAUAGCCAGCAGCGCAGCAUAGCAGUAUACUUUUUGCUUCUUUAUGUUUUAAUAUCAAAAUAAUAAUGAGUAUAUAAUAAUGGCUAGUAUUUCCUGUGCGUGUUAUUUUCAUUAGUGAAUUUUAUUUUAUUUUAUUUUCUAUACAUAUAGUUGAGGAUGAAGUUCAGAUGAAUGCUAUUAUUCCUUACGAGACUGGACAUCCUCUAAUACGUUCAUAUCGGCUACGUCGACAUGCUACUGCCCUACAAUCACCAUAUGUGGUACAACCGUCAAUCAAAUUUUUAGCGUCUUCAUCUGUAGCAAAGCAAGUUUUGGCAUAUGCAUUGGACGAUACACGUGAUGAAAGCCAAAUAUUAUGUUCCAUGCACAAUUUCUUCUUGACAAGGUUUGACUUGAAAUGCUUGGGACCCGACAAAUUGGUUGACAAUAAGGUAUUCAUAUUUAGUUAUGUGAAGUUAGGAUAAAAUUACUCUAAAACUAUAUAUCUAAUUUUCAUUAAUUUACAUGAAGGUUGUAACCAUGCAUUGUCGAAUUUUGAAUGGUAUGGAUAAAGAAAAUAGGAAGCAUUUCUUAUCUCCAAACUUUGUGGUAAGAUAUGUUGUAAGAAUUAUAGAUUGGUUUUCUUGUUUUACGUAGAUUGUUUUAAUCUAAUGUAUGGCUUGUAAUUUUUUUAUUACAGUAUGAUGUGGAAAACAAGAGGGGUUCCUUAUCUCCAAAAUACAUAUGUGACAAUUUAUGGAAAUAUUUCAAAAAUACUCGGUUGUGCACAUAUGAACAGUUGUUCAUACCAAUAUGCAGGAAAAAUCAUUGGUAUUUAAUCAUUUUGAAUAUUCAUGCGAAAAGAAUAGAGUUGUUGGAUUCAUUAAUUGACGGAAGGAAAAAACGGAUGGAUG